CAGACACAUUGUGUAAGGAAGGCCAAGACCAAUCUGGAAUCAAUAAAGGCUCAUAGGAACUCCAGUCGUCCCAACUGUGAGAGGGCCUUGCUCCAGUGACUGUUGGAUAUUGGCAUACCAGGAUAGGUGUGGUUUAACUGUUGGGAAGGAGGUUGAAACAGUGCAAUGUUUCCUCUCUUGGAUUGCAGAGACCAGACAUGCUUCUGUAACUCUCAUGGUCAUGUGCUGGUAUUAGCAGAUGUUCAACUAUUUGCCCAUCUCGCUGACCUGUUGAUAUCAGAAGACCACAACAGCUCUGCAAUGCAAGUUGCAAAACAGAAUCCAUGAAACUGGCAGUGACCGGAAACCAAUUGGAAGACUUUGGUUUAUGAUGUAGAGAAGUGGGCAGACGCAGAAGCAAAGACAACAAAAAACAGAAGUGAUGUGGAUGUCUUCGCCUUAUAGCAUG